AGCAGCCGCGGUAAUUCCAGCUCCAAUAGCGUAUAUUAAAGUUGUUGCAGUUAAAAGCUCGUAGUUGAAUUUCGGGGUCAGUAGAUUGGUCAUGCCUCCGGUAUGCACUGGUCUUACUGGCUCCUCCUUCCUGAUGAACCGUAAUGCCAUUAAUUUGGUGUUGCGGGGAGACUGGACUGUUACUUUGAAAAAUUAGAGUGUUUAAAGCAGGCUAACGCUUGAAUACAUUAGCAUGGAAUAAUGAAAUAGGACGCUCGAUCUUAUUUUGUUGGUUUCUAAGAUUGACGUAAUGAUUAAUAGGGAUAGUUGGGGCAUUAGUAUUCAAUUGUCAGAGGUGAAAUUCUUGGAUUUAUUGAAGACUAACUACUGCGAAAGCAUUUGCCAAGGAUGUUUCAUUAAUCAAGAACGAAAGUUAGGGAUCGAAGACGAUCAGAUACCGUCGUAGUCUUAACCAUAAACUAU
rnacentral:rRNA from 1 species